AAAGAGGUAGGGGUUGUCUGUAAGGAAGGAGGUAGGGGUUGUCUGCAAGGAAGGAGGUAGGGAUUGUCUGUAAGGAAGGAGGUAGGGGUUGU